UACGUAGGGUGCAAGCGUUGUCCGGACUUAUUGGGCGUAAAGAGCUCGUAGGCGGUCUGUCACGUCGGAUGUGAAAAUCCAGGGCUUAACCCUGGACCUGCAUUCGAUACGGGCAGACUAGAGUUCGGUAGGGGAGACUGGAAUUCCUGGUGUAGCGGUGAAAUGCGCAGAUAUCAGGAGGAAUACCGGUGGCGAAGGCGGCAUCCUGGACCAUAACUGACGCUGAGGCGCGAAAGCUAGGGGAGCAAACGGG
rnacentral:rRNA from 1 species